AGUGCGACAGCUUCAGAGCUGAUGGAGAGACAGAGAGCACGCAACUGGAAAAAUUCAGACAUGGAAUUCAUGGAUUAAAUGGUCACCAAUUGUUUCAGCAUUGCAUAUUGAAUAAUACAACCUUCUUCCACUGCCGUGAAAUGUCAACAGCUGCUCUCCCACUAGAUAGGGCGUAGCUUUCCACAGACGUGAGAACAUCGCUGUGGUCCAUCUCUAUUUACUGCGAGUGCAAGGGUCAAGACAGAAAACAUAGAGGCUUUUAGUAGGAGAGGGCAGACAUGCUUUAUCAUAUCAUUGAGCUACAAUUCUGGCCUACAGCAGAGAUACAGCCUGGUAUCCAUUAAGAGCAAGGCCUCUGGACCCAGGCUUCCUAGGCUUGUCUCCUGAUCCCAUCCUUUACUAAUUGUAUUGCCACAGAAAGAAAGGCUCCAGAUUUAUGUUUCCCGGUAUUGCUGCUAUUGGUAUUACUGUCAUUAUUGUUAUUGUUAUUAUUAUUAUUAUUAUAAUUAAACUACAUUGGUGAAUCUUUAAUUUCCAUCUAUUGAAAUAGCUACAGUGAAAGACGGAGAGAGGCCUUCAUGCAUGGUGUGCAUUUGCCACCUAGUGACCACACUGAAGAUCAGUAAGAUGGAUCAGAGCUGGACAAGAAAUAUGCUAUUCUCAAGAAUCAGUGAUCUAGAAACCAGAGUUGUUAUCAAGGACUUGUGAUUUAUUUCUGAUUCUAAAGGUCCUCCUGAUGACAUAAGGGAUGUAUAGCAGGCAACACAUCCAAAAACUUUUAUGAAAUGAGAUAAACAUGAGCACAGUGUCUACCGUUAAAUGUUACACUAAAACUUAAGGAUUUUUAGAAUAAAAAUAAGUUGCUUAAA